rnacentral:rRNA from 1 species
CUACGGGAGGCAGCAGUAGGGAAUCUUCCGCAAUGGACGAAAGUCUGACGGAGCAACGCCGCGUGAGUGAUGAAGGCUUUCGGGUCGUAAAACUCUGUUGUUAGGGAAGAACAAGUGCUAGUUGAAUAAGCUGGCACCUUGACGGUACCUAACCAGAAAGCCACGGCUAACUACGUGCCAGCAGCCGCGGUAAUACGUAGGUGGCAAGCGUUAUCCGGAAUUAUUGGGCGUAAAGCGCGCGCAGGUGGUUUCUUAAGUCUGAUGUGAAAGCCCACGGCUCAACCGUGGAGGGUCAUUGGAAACUGGGAGACUUGAGCGCAGAAGAGGAAAGUGGAAUUCCAUGUGUAGCGGUGAAAUGCGUAGAGAUAUGGAGGAACACCAGUGGCGAAGGCGACUUUCUGGUCUGUAACUGACACUGAGGCGCGAAAGCGUGGGGAGCAAACAGGAUUAGAUACCCUGGUAGUCCACGCCGUAAACGAUGAGUGCUAAGUGUUAGAGGGUUUCCGCCCUUUAGUGCUGAAGUUAACGCAUUAAGCACUCCGCCUGGGGAGUACGGCCGCAAGGCUGAAACUCAAAGGAAUUGACG